rnacentral:rRNA from 1 species
AGGGUUUGAUCAUGGCUCAGAACGUACGCUGGCGGCACGCCUAACACAUGCAAGUCGAACGAAGUAGCAAUACUUAGUGGCGAACGGGUGAGUAUAAUGUGGGUAUCUGCCUUUUGGUUUGGAAUAACACGGGGAAACUUGUGCUAAUACCGGAUAAGCCUUCACAGGGAAAGUUUUAACGCCAAAAGAUGAGCCCGCACUUGAUUAGCUAGUUGGUAAGGUAAUGGCUUACCAAGGCUACGAUCAAUAGCUGAUCUGAGAGGAUGAUCAGCCACAUUGGGACUGAGACACGGCCCAAACUCCUACGGGAGGCAGCAGUGGGGAAUCUUGCACAAUGGGGGAAACCCUGAUGCAGCGAUGCCGCGUGAGUGAAGAAGGCCUUUGGGUUGUAAAGCUCUUUCGUCGGGGAAGAAAAUGACUGUACCCGAAUAAGAAGGUCCGGCUAACUUCGUGCCAGCAGCCGCGGUAAUACGAAGGGACCUAGCGUAGUUCGGAAUUACUGGGCUUAAAGAGCUCGUAGGUGGUUAGAAAAGUUGGUGGUGAAAUCCCAAGGCUUAACCUUGGAACUGCCUCCAAAACUUUUUAACUAGAGUAUGAU